UGCAGCAGUGCGGCCACCGUGAAGCCCCUCCGCUGCCCCAGAGGCUACUAUUGCCCACUUCGGACUGCUGCCCCACUACCAUGCCCGGAGGGCACACUGAACACCUUGGAGGGGGCACUGUCCCCCACUGCCUGCAAGCUGUGCCCCGUGGGGAGAUACUGCAGGGGAGAUGCUAACUGGGAAGCUGAUGGUCUGUGCUCACCUGGGUACUACUGUGAAGGAGGAUCCACUGAUGCYGUUCCACGUAGGACACCUGCGUUCCCACUCAGUGGGCCCUGCCCACUCGGGCACUAUUGCCCYGAGGGCACUCAUGGCCCCAUUGCCUGCCCAGCAGGCACCCUGAACAAUG